GUGGGGAAUCUUCCGCAAUGGACGAAAGUCUGACGGAGCAACGCCGCGUGAGUGAAGAAGGUUUUCGGAUCGUAAAGCUCUUUCGUUAGGGACGAACGUGCUCUUUGUGAAUAAUGAGGAGUAAUGACGGUACCUAAAUAAGAAGCCACGGCUAACUACGUGCCAGCAGCCGCGGUAAUACGUAGGUGGCAAGCGUUGUCCGGAAUUAUUGGGCGUAAAGCGCGCGCAGGCGGGAUAUCAAGUCUGUCUUAAAAGUGCGAGGCUCAACCUCGUGAGGGGACAGAAACUGGUAUCCUUGAGUGUCGGAGAGGAAAGUGGAAUUCCAAGUGUAGCGGUGAAAUGCGUAGAGAUUUGGAAGAACACCAGUGGCGAAGGCGACUUUCUGGACGAUGUCUGACGCUGAGGCGCGAAAGCUAGGGGAGCGAACGGGAUUAGAAACCCUUGUAGUCC
rnacentral:rRNA from 1 species